rnacentral:misc_RNA from 1 species
GGGAAAGCUGCAUCGACAAGGU